GGAGAGGUGCCCGAGUGGUCGAAGGGGGCUGCCUGCUAAGCAGUUGUCUCCGCAUAGGGGACCCUGGGUUCGAAUCCCAGCCUCUCCGCCA
rnacentral:tRNA from 1 species